rnacentral:rRNA from 1 species
AUUGAACGCUGGCGGCAUGCUUUACACAUGCAAGUCGAACGGUAACAGGUCUUCGGAUGCUGACGAGUGGCGAACGGGUGAGUAAUGCAUCGGAACGUGCCCAGUCAUGGGGGAUAACGCAGCGAAAGCUGCGCUAAUACCGCAUACGAUCUAUGGAUGAAAGCGGGGGACCGUAAGGCCUCGCGCGAUUGGAGCGGCCGAUGUCAGAUUAGGUAGUUGGUGGGGUAAAGGCCCACCAAGCCAACGAUCUGUAGCUGGUCUGAGAGGACGACCAGCCACAAGGGGACUGCGACACGGCCCAGACUCCUACGGGGGGCAGCAGUGGGGAAUUUUGGACAAUGGGCGCAAGCCUGAUCCAGCAAUGCCGCGUGCAGGAAGAAGGCCUUCGGGUUGUAAACUGCUUUUGUACGGAACGAAACGGCUCUCUCUAAUACAGAGGGCUAAUGACGGUACCGUAAGAAUAAGCACCGGCUAACUACGUGCCAGCCGCCGCUGUAACAC